rnacentral:rRNA from 1 species
UCCUACGGGAGGCAGCAGUCGGNAAUUUUGGGCAAUGGGCGAAAGCCUGACCCAGCAACGCCGCGUGAAGGAUGAAAUCCCUCGGGAUGUAAACUUCGCAAGAACGGGAAGAAUAAGUCUAUGUUAAUACCAUAGGCGAUGACGGUACCGUUUGUAAGCUCCGGCUAACUCCGUGCCAGCAGCCGCGGUAAUACGGGGGGAGCAAGCGUUGUUCGGAUUUACUGGGCGUAAAGGGCGCGUAGGCGGCCACCGCAAGUCAGUUGUGAAAUCUCCGAGCUUAACUCGGAAAGGUCAACUGAUACUGCGGGGCUAGAGUGCGGAAGGGGCAACUGGAAUUCUUGGUGUAGCGGUGAAAUGCGUAGAUAUCAAGAGGAACACCUGCGGCGAAGGCGGGUUGCUGGGCCGACACUGACGCUGAGGCGCGAAAGCUAGGGGAGCGAACGGGAUUAGAUACCCCGGUAGUCCUAGCCUUAAACGAUGAAUGCUUGGUGUCUGGGGUUAUAUAGUCCCCGGGUGCCGUCGCUAACGCUUUAAGCAUUCCGCCUGGGGAGUACGGUCGCAAGACUGAAACUCAAAGGAAUUGACGGGGACCCGCACAAGCGGUGGAGCAUGUGGUUUAAUUCGACGCAACGCGAAGAACCUUAC